AUGGUGGUGUUUGUGAACUUGCUGAGGUCACAAAGAAACUCAAUAGUUAGCAAGACAAGGGAACAGACUGUGCUGGUCAUGGCUCAGUUAAAAAGUGUGCUGGGGGAAGAGCUCCAGUUAUCUUCAAUUCCUUCUACCUCCCUUGCUACAAUCAUAAACACUAUAACAGCCACAAACACUGGAGAUUGGGAAAGAUUAUUCUCCUUGCAGUUGUUUCCUUGGAAAGAGAUGGCAAGAAACUUGACAAGGACAUCCUAAAAGAAAAGUAAAAAAGGAUCUUCCAACAAGCUAUGAAAAUGAGUUUGCACAAAACUUAAACAGGAAAGAAAUUUCCUUUUUGUUAGAAAAAUCCAUCAGUAAGUCUGUACAUUUUGGGAGAUAAUUUGUCUUUGAGAUGUGCCUGAAGCUUCUUACAUUUGACUUUUUUAAAGCAAGCCUGACAAAUGAUGUGGGAAUAUUCUGCAAGGAUGAUUCUUAGGAAAUUAAUCUUCAGGUGUACCAAGCUUCAUCUCUCUCCCACUUCCACAGUUUUGCAUUUAAAAAAAAAAUAACAACACUGGGAAGUUUUCAUAAAUCAUGUAAAAGUCACAGUUACUUCAAAAGAAGAAAGUUGUGUGAUCAAACUAUAGAAAUAGAAGACAAUCAACAGAGCAUUAGAAAUACUCAGAAAGUUAUUAGGCAUAUCACUAAACUCAAACCUUAACUCACACUCUUCUCUCUGGGAAAUACCUAGUACCAUAUCAUACUAUACAAGUACUAAGUAGUAUUUAAAUAGGUCCAAUCCAAAAUUCUGUUGACCAUUCAGAUUAGGUAACACUUUGAGAAACUAAAAUCAAGCAUACCAAGCAAAGGAGGAAACAUGAGCCCUUAUUUAUGUGGUCACUUGAUGCAGUAACUUACUUCCCCAUCUAAACCAAAAGAUUUUUCCAAGACACGUAAGAGAACAUUGUAUUUUGGCAUAGAAUAAAUAGGAGUUAUAUAGCA
rnacentral:lncRNA from 1 species